AAGCAGGAGGUGUCAGAAAAGUUACCACAGCAAUAACUGGCUUGUGGCGGCCAAGCAUUCAUAGUCACGUCACUUUUUGAUCCUU
rnacentral:miRNA from 1 species